AUGGAAUGUUCUAUGUAGGUGUCCCGGCGCCUCGAACUCCUUCGUGCCGGAACAUUCUAUUUCAUGAGAAAAAGAUUCUUAACGUUAUCACAUGAUGAAAGUCAAGCUCUGUUUGUGAGAAAUGGGAGGCUAGCGAAUAUAAACCAAGUAUUUCUCCAAUGGAAGUCAACAUUAGCUACGAAGUAUAGAAGACAUACAGCUGGCAAAGAUCUGGUUAUAUUGCUAACGAGACGUAUGAUCACAGCACCUAACGGAGAAGGGGGCUCUGGC